UGUUCUGCGGCGAAGUUGGUUAACGCGCCCUGUCUAGCGAACUUGGGGAGACGUGGGUUCAAACCCCACCAGAACUA
rnacentral:tRNA from 1 species